CCCUUGACGUUGCUGUGGUCUGUAACCGUGUCCAUGUUUCCAUUUGGAGGGUUUAUCGGAUCCCUCCUGGUCGGCCCCUUGGUGAAUAAAUUUGGCAAAAAGGGGCCUUGCUGUUCAACAACAUAUUUUCUAUCGUGCCUGCGAUCUUAAUGGGAUGCAGCAGAGUCGCCACAUCAUUUGAGCUUAUCAUUAUUUCCAGACUUUUGGUGGGAAUAUGUGCAGUGUAUCUUCCAACGUGGUCCCCAUGUACUUAGGGGAGCUGGCCCCUAAAAACCUGCGGGGGGCUCUCGGGGUGGUGCCCCAGCUCUUCAUCACUG
rnacentral:lncRNA from 1 species